AGAGUUUGAUCAUGGCUCUGGAUGAACGCUAGCUACAGGCUUAACACAUGCAAGUCGAGGGGCAGCACGGAGACUGCUUGCAGUCUCUGGUGGCGACCGGCGGAUGGGUGAGUAACGCGUAUCCAACCUGCCCGUGACCCGGGGACAGCCUUCCGAAAGGAAGAUUAAUACCCGAUGUUCCGGCGUGCGCGCAUGCGCUGCGCCGGCAAAGUUUUUCUGCGGUGACGGAUGGGGAUGCGUCUGAUUAGGCUGCAGGCGGGGUAACGGCCCACCUGGCCAUCGAUCAGUAGGGGUUCUGAGAGGAAGGUCCCCCACAUUGGAACUGAGACACGGUCCAAACUCCUACGGGAGGCAGCAGUGAGGAAUAUUGGUCAAUGGGCGCAAGCCUGAACCAGCCAAGUAGCGUGCAGGAUGACGGCCCUACGGGUUGUAAACUGCUUUUGCGCGGGAGCAAAGAGGGGCACGCGUGCCCCGUUGCGCGUACCGCGUGAAUAAGCGUCGGCUAAUUCCGUGCCAGCAGCCGCGGUAAUACGGAAGACGCGGGCGUUAUCCGGAUUUAUUGGGUUUAAAGGGAGCGUAGGCGGGUGCGCAAGUCAGCUGUGAAAUGCCGCGGCUCAACCGCGGAGCUGCAGUUGAAACUGCGCGUCUUGAGUCGGCGAGAGGAAGGCGGAAUUCGUGGUGUAGCGGUGAAAUGCAUAGAUAUCACGAAGAACUCCGAUUGCGAAGGCAGCCUUCUGGCGCCGUACUGACGCUGAGGCUCGAAGGUGCGGGUAUCGAACAGGAUUAGAUACCCUGGUAGUCCGCACGGUAAACGAUGGACACUCGCGGUCGGGCAUUUGUGCUCGGCCGCCCAGCGAAAGCGUUAAGUGUCCCACCUGGGGAGUACGCCGGCAACGGUGAAACUCAAAGGAAUUGACGGGGGCCCGCACAAGCGGAGGAACAUGUGGUUUAAUUCGAUGAUACGCGAGGAACCUUACCCGGGCUUGAAUUGCAGGUGCGACCGGCGGAAACGCCGGGUCCCUUUCAGGGCGCCUGUGAAGGUGCUGCAUGGUUGUCGUCAGCUCGUGCCAUGAGGUGUCGGCUUAAGUGCCAUAACGAGCGCAACCCCUCUCCUCGGUUGCCAUCAGGUGAUGCUGGGCACUCCGGGGACACUGCCAUCGCAAGAUGUGAGGAAGGUGGGGAUGACGUCAAAUCAGCACGGCCCUUACGUCCGGGGCUACACACGUGUUACAAUGGGGCAUACAGAGGGAAGCCACCCGGCGACGGGGCGCGGAUCCCGAAAGUGCCUCCCAGUUCGGACCGGAGUCUGCAACCCGACUCCGCGAAGCUGGAUUCGCUAGUAACCGCGCAUCAGCCAUGGCGCGGUGAAUACGUUCCCGGGCCUUGUACACACCGCCCGUCAAGCCAUGAAAGCCGGGGGUGCCUGAAGUCCGUAACCGCGAGGGGCGGCCUAGGGUAAAACUGGUGAUUGGGGCUAAGUCGUAACAAGGUAACCGUA
rnacentral:rRNA from 1 species